UAAACAUCCGUUCUCGUUCAAUCAACGUAGUUAAGAAACGUCGAGUCUGGUUAGUACUUAGAUGGGUGACCACUUCGGAAUAUCAAGUGUUAU